AAUUUGUGCUUGAUCGAUAUUUUAUUUUAAUAUUUUUGAUUAAUUUUAUAUAUUUUAUACAUUUUAUGCGCUUAUUUGAUAGUUUUGAUUUCGUUUCGUACAGCUGUUAAUUUUUGGGUUAGCUUCGAAAGCGGGAAAAAUUCCAAUAUGGACGCCAUCAUGUCACAAUGACGCAGUAAAAUUUGAUAUUUUGUACGUAUAUCAUUUUUCUUUUAUCUCAUCCUAUUAAUACAACUUUAUUUUCAGAGAAUUUUGUUUUUAGAAAAUUUUUGUGAUCGCGUGCAAUGCGAUCAGUAAAAUCAGUGUUUAUUUCGUAAAAGUUUCUUUAUAAUUUUUCUAUAAUCGCGAAAUUAGAGUCAGUAUUUGUUCGCCGAUUGUAACAUAAACGAACGAGUUAAUAGUCUUUUAUUUUUUUUCUUUUUUGAAUAUUCGUUUUCGGUACAGAGUAGAAUCAGUGCAUCAAGAGAAUAAAGUGAUCAUCAAUCACGCGAAGAGGUAUUGGACUUCAUUGUAGACAUUAGCCUUGAAAUUAGAAAAUAACAAUAUUUGUGACCGCGUGCAAUGCGGUUAAUAGAAUCAGUGUUUGCUUCGUAAAAGUUUUCUUAAAUCCUUAAACGGAUAACGCGAAAUUAGAAUCAGUGUUUGCUUCGUGAAAGUUUUUUUAAAUCCUUUAAUGGAUAACGCGAAAUUAGAAUCAGUGCUUCUCUCAAGA